rnacentral:lncRNA from 1 species
GCGGCGCGGCGGGGACCGAGAGCUGCGGAGGGGCUGGAGGUACCCCACCGCGGGGUGGUGCUCUGACUGCGGGAACCGUUGAAGAGCUGCCCCCGGGGAGUCAGCGAGGCGCCACUGGUCUCUUAGACAUCUUCUCAAGAUUAUGCUAAGAGAAAUGACUGCACCCUUUUCCUGAGCUAUGGCAGUCAGACCUGGCAGUGGUAACUACUCUACAGAACUCCCAAACCUGGCAAGGAUGCUGCAGAUUUUGGCAGAUUAUGGCUUUGUCCCCACCCAGCACUGAUGAUAUUAUGAACAGACCUAUACUACAAGAAAUGAUAAUGGAAGUUCUUCAACUGAGCAAGAAAUGAUAUUAACAGAAAACUUGGAUCUUCGGGAGCAAAUGAAGAACAUCAGAAAUG